rnacentral:rRNA from 1 species
AUGUCGCAAUGUUGGUGGGGUGACGAGGAGAACCAAAAGAGGAUGCACUGGUUUGCUUGAUGGAAAAUGUGUGUGCCAAAAGAGAGAGGUGGAAUGGGAUUCCGAGAUGUUCAUAGUUUUAACUUGGCAAUGCUAGCGAAGCAAUGUUCGAGGUUGAUUGAGAACUACGAAUCACUUUGUGCACGUGUGUUGAGAGCGAGGUAUUAUCCCAGCGGAGACUUAUUGAAUUGUGAGUUGAAAAAGGGUCCUCUUAUGUGUGGUAAAGUAUUUGGGCUGGUAUCCAAACCUUCAAGAAAGGAUGUAUCUGGAGAGUGGGAAAUGGUUCAAAGAGUGGGAAAUGGAACUCGGAGGUGCCGUAGUUUCGGUGCUUGA